CCGGAGCGGGCUUGGACGAGCGGGUUGGGGCGAGCCUGGGUCUCCUAACCUGACUUUCCUGACUCCGGUCGCCUUCGGGAAGGGCUAUUGCGCUGUCCGCGAAGUUCUCUGAAAGAAUGGACGGAAGCCGCCUCCACGCCUCCCCAAGGAACAGGAAAGAAAGGCUUUGCCUCUCGCCACCCAAACGCCUGCCAGCCCCGCCCGGCUCGUCCGAGCUGCCGGGCGCUACCCCCUGGAGCGGGGUCUGCGCGUUCCGCAUCCGGGCCCCUCACGCUCCCUUGUCACUGUUGCCUUCGAGCUCCACUCUGCUCGCAGCUUCCCAGGCCACCAACUCCGCUACCUGCUUCGCGUGCCUAGAACCCCCGCGCUGGGAGAACAUUGAUGAGCUGAGCCCUCGCUGCUCAGACCCUCAGCACCGGGCGUUCACUCCAAGCAGACCGGGCAGGGAUACCGUUUAGAGCAUUCCGUGUAAACAGGGGAGGGGUAGAAAAUGGGUGAGAGUGAAUUUUAUUUCAGAGUUGGCUUGUUCAUUUUUCAACCUGUGGGUCCCGACCCCUUCACAGGGGUCGCCAAAGACCAACAGAAAACACAGAUACUUGCAUUACGAUUCAUAACAGUAAAAUUACAGUUAUAAAGUAGCAACAAAAAUAACCACUAAGCACCUGUAUUAAUUUUAAAUUUAAGAUCUGGUUCUUUGCUGACACAGCUCUGUUGAAUGGCACAUAGCAAGCUGAACAAAAUGAGAGACCAAAGUCCCCUAAGGGCCACCCCAUCUCAGCCCGAAACUCGAGUACCUGUUCACAUGAAACACAAUCUGUGGGACAAAACAAACUCCUCGGCUUUGGAGUCCAACAGAGCUGGUGAAAUUGGUGUUGUGUUACCCACCAUAUAACCACGUGGAAGGGGAAGGCGUAUAACUGUGCUGCAGCAGAGUUUCCGGCGUUUAGAAUUCACGAGGAGGAUGAACUCUAACUCCCAGGAUGACAAAGAUCAAGAGGAACGCGGCCGAGCACCUAGCAUGCUCCUGGCAGAUCAUAGAUGCUCAACAAACCAGCUGCAGCAGUAAUCACUGUGAGUGAUUGUAUAUUCAAUUGCAUAUUAAAUCUUGACAUGUGUAA